UUUAGGAUUUUAACUUAUUUUCCUGUUUAAGAGUUCAAGCUCGAGCUCAGUAGAUUAAUUUAAAAUUGAGCUCGACUCGGCCAUCUAUAUUAAUAUAUAAAUAUGCAUCGAGUUCAGUGGAUUAUUUAUGUUUGUUUAAGUAAUAGAGGACAUACAGUAGCUGCUAUCGCUGAUUGUAUGCAUAAUCUCCUUUUUUUUUUAUGUUGCAGCAUUGUAUGCAUAAUAUCCAUUGCUUCUGCUAAUUUUCAUCUAGUAAAAUUCUUAUACUCUUACUCGGUGUUCACGUUUUCGAUCUGUCUUCUUCACAUCGAUUAAGUAAUCUUGCGCAUGAUAAGCUUUGGAUAUGAUUAUUGUUGGGCUUCAAGAUUCUCAGUUUGAUCAGAAGCCAUUGGGAUUUAGCAAUGCAGUCUGCAGAACUGUGAGUUGUAAUAAGGAGCUGGCUGGGAAUAAAAGGUUGUUUCAAAGUGUUAGCUCAAGUGAAUCCGAUGGAGAAGGAACCAAGUAAAAAAUCAGAUUCUAAAAGUGUUCAGUUUUGAAUGACAGACCCUCUAGGCAAGUUCUUGUUCUUUGCACAUUUAUGUUAUUAUGAUUUGUUUGCAUAUUAUGAAUAUAUUUGUUUGUGAUUUUGUAGGUUUUUAUGAAGACGCUCAAAUUGUUAAUGGGAUUUUGUAGGUUUUGGUGAUGUAUUUACGUCAUGAUGUAAUAGACUGAUUAUAUUUUGAACAUUUGUAUCAUGAUGUAAUAGAUGGAUUAUAUUUUGCAUAAUUUUGUGAUGUAUUGGUACAGAUAUCCUUUGGAAUCCACCUUACUAUUUGAACAAAAUAUUUUG